UACGUAGGGUGCGAGCGUUAAUCGGAAUUACUGGGCGUAAAGCGUGCGCAGGCGGUUUUGUAAGCCAGAUGUGAAAUUCCCGGGCUUAACCUGGGAAUGGCAUUUGGGACUGCAAGGCUGGAGUUUGGCAGAGGAGACUGGAAUUCCCGGUGUAGCAGUGAAAUGCGUAGAGAUCCGGAGGAACACCAGAGGCGAAGGCGGCCUACUGGCUCGCACCUGACGCUGAGCCGCGAAAGCCAGGGGAGCGAACGGG
rnacentral:rRNA from 1 species